CUCCUGCCCUAUCUCUGUGAGUCUGCUCUCUCAAGAAAAAUGAGCUUGCCGCUGAAAUUGGUUACCUACCUCAACCAUUAAACAAGACAUUUAACCAUAGUGGCAGUUCUGUGACCUUUGAAUGCCGUGAAAUCUCUGAGCGGUGCUGCUCGUUCAUGAAGACGUGUGCUGCGGAAUCCAGCAACUUCAUCCAGGAUUAGGAAUAUAAUUAAGUAAAAAAAAAAAAAAAAGAAAGAAAGAGAAAAAAAAAAAAAGAAACAAAAAAGCACGCAGAGAGCUCGAGUAAGAAGGAAGUUUUGGCUGUAAAGUGUCAGGCUUGUUCCUGCCAGGGAGAUCCCUCCUGAAACUCCCCACAGGGAGUCACUCAAGAAGCAGGGCAUAGUGAUGCACAAAGAUCCCAUGGCAAGAUAUUGACGAGCAGGAGCAUUGAUGCCUGAGAGACUGAAGCUGAAGAAGGCAAGGCAACUUGUGUUCCACAGACUCCAUAGGAACUACUGGCAGCUGUGAGCUUGAACAUGGUACAAAGGCUAUUCUUCACUGUCAGAGUGAAGCCAGCUGCAACUCUACUGACUUUCCAGGAAGGGAGAGCAACCUGUUGGGAAAUGAGUGUUAUUUACUUUAUCUUUUAUAAUUAGUGAAUUGAUUUAUUUUUAAUCAAUUAGUGUAUCCCCAUCAGGUUUCACCACCAUAGUGCAUCCACCACCCACUCACCCUUAUUCUACCACUAAGACCAUUGUGUUUCCUUCCCUUUUUGUUCUUUCCCUCCCCACCCCUUGUUACUCCAGUUAGGUAGUCAGCUAUCUAUGGCUAGUUUUUCAGUUGUCUCUAUCUGACUAUUAAUUUACUUACUUUAUAUUCUACGUGUUAAUGACACCACCAAGUAUUUAUUUUUCUCCUUCUGACUUGUUUCACUUAGCGUUAUGCUUACAAGCUCCAUCCAUGUUGCCACAAAUGGCAUGAGUUUAUCUUUUUUUAAUAAUUGAGUACUAUUUCAUUGUGUAUAUAUACCACAUCUUGAUCCACUCAUCUGUUUUGGGGGAUUUAGGUUGUUUGCCUUGUUUAGCUAGAGUGCAAAAUUCCUUUGGAAUUAGUGUUUUUGAAUUUUUUUUGAAUAGAUGCCUAAAAGUCGAAGUACUGUGUUGAAUGGCAGAUCCACAUUUAUUGUUCUGAGACACCUCUGCACAGCUUUCCAUCAGACUGGACCGGCUGCAUUCCCAGCAGCAGUGUAUGUGUGGUCCCUUUUUGUCCACAUCCUCACCAGCACUUGUUGUUUCUGGUCCUUUAGAUAUGGGCCAUUCUCACAGGUGUGUGAUGGUAUCUCAUGUGAUAUUGAUUUGCAUUUCUUCUAUAAUAAGUGGUUGUGAAAAUUUUUUCAUGUACCUGCUGCUGUUGUAAUGUCUUCUUUGGAGAGGUACCUGUUUAGUGCUUUUGCCUAUUUUGAUUGGGUUAUUUAUUUUGUUUUUGUAGAGUUCUAUGUGUUCUUUGUAUAUCUUAGAUAACAGUCCUUUGUCAGAUGUACAGUGUGCAAAUAAUUUUCUCCAAUUCAGCAGGAUUUCUUUCACUGUGUACAAGCUUUUUAGUUUGAUGUAGUCCCAGCUGUUUAUUUUCCCUUUUGUUUCCCCUGCUGUUGGGGACAAAUCCCUAAAGACAUCACUAGAGUUUUUAUCAUGUAAUGUUUUGCCUAUGUUUUCUUCUAUGUAUUUUAUCAUUUUAUGUUGUAUAUCCAAAUCUUUGAUUGAUUUUGAGUUGAUUCUGGAGUAUGGUGUGAAAUUGUGGUCUAGUUUUAUUCUUUUGUAUGCAGCUGUACAGUUUUCCCAACACGAUUUAUUGAAGAGGCUAUCCUUUUUCUAGUGUAUGUUUUUGGCUCGUUUUUCAAAGAUUAACCGUCCAUAUAUAUGUGGACUUAUUUCUGGACUCUCAAUUCUACUCCAUUGGUCUGUGUGUCUGCUUUUGUUCUAGUAUCAGACUAUUUUAAUUAUUAUGGUUUUAUAAUGUAGCUUGAAAUCUGGAAGUGUGAUACCUCCAUUCUCAAAAAUGAUUGUUCUUUAGGAAUCAAUUUGGAUUGUUCUGCAGCCAAGAACAGUGUCAAGAACAAGAUCCAAUACUAAUGUUCAUUCUGUCUCUCUCUAAAAUACCUGCUAGGUUUAGAAUAUAAAUGACUCUCUCAAUUAAAAAAAGAGAACAUCUCCAUAUUAGCAAAAAAAAAAAAAAAAAACUGUAUUGCCAGCAGGAACAGAUAACUACAGGUGAGAAAUGGCUAAAAAUUCCUCCCUUCAGACAGCUGUCAGACUCGAGCUUCCUCCCACAUUGCAGGGAUGGCGGAGAGACCCGAAAGAAGCUCUGGGAAACCUUCUUGCUUAUGCCAACCUCUUCAGCAUUCUGAGGCAAACCUAAUGAGUACAUUCCCCUUUUUGCUUUCAGUUCAGGCAAAAACUGAAGUUCAGAUAUUUCUUGUUCAGUAAUAGGUUAGUAUCUGAUAUACCAGAGAGAGACAGAGAUUUCACUGAUCUUCUGAAUUUUAAAACCGGGGAAAAAGAUAUUCUCAAAAGAUAAAAUGUAAAAACAUGUGAAAGGAAUCACAGAAACCAUCACUCAGGGCAGUUCCCGGCUUCGACAUUAAUGCACCCAGUAAGAGUAAAGGAACACAAUGCCCCUCAGCAUAAUGAUGGAGACAUUACUUGAAAAGGAAGAGUUUAUGAGCUGGAUGAUACCCACUAAUUAUAUCCUGGAAAAUGUCUGUCAGUACAAACAAGAACAAUUGAAAGGAACUCUCAGAAAAUGGAGUGGAACAAAUAGUAAAAUAUUAUUCACUUCAAUAAGGCCUUCGAGUAUACUUCACAAGCAGAAGUUAGCAGUGCUUUGAACAAACAGAAGAUAUGGCUACAAUUUUCUGUGAUACACUAUCUAUGGCAUAUUUUGCUUUAUUAUUAUUAUAAAAUUCCUUUAUUUUUUAUACCAAUCAGUUUUUAAGAGUAUAGUAAAACAGAUUUUUCUCUUUUUUCCCCUCAACUCAGCAUAUAUCUCCUUUUUCUCCACAACUGGAGAGCAAACUACAGUGAGGAAAAUGGUGGACAUGUUCCCUGGAAGAAGGAGCAUAUCUUCUAUUUCUUUGUAAACCCUAUUGCUUCAUACCAUGAAUGGCAGAUUUAGUACUUUGAAAGUGUUUGUUAAAAGGUUGUAGGGAUUGAUUAAGCAA